rnacentral:SRP_RNA from 1 species
GCCGGGUGCAGUGGUGUGCGCCUGUAAUCCCAGGUACUCUGGAGGCUGAGGCAGGAGAAUCGCUUGAACCCAGGAGGUGGAGGUUGCGGUGAGCUGAGAUCACACCACUGCACUACAGCCUGGGCUACAGAGUGAGACUUUGUCUCAA